ACCAUCCUUUUCUUGGGGUUGUGCCACUUUCCAAUGAGCACAUAGUGAGGGCAGUGCUGCUAACACCUAAACAACACACCCUGUAGUCCCAGCUAUUCGGGAGGCUGAGGCAGGAGAA
ensembl:snRNA